rnacentral:rRNA from 1 species
AUACGUAGGGUGCAAGCGUUAAUCGGAAUUACUGGGCGUAAAGCGUGCGCAGGCGGUUUUGUAAGACAGUGGUGAAAUCCCCGGGCUCAACCUGGGAACUGCCAUUGUGACUGCAAGGCUAGAGUGCGGCAGAGGGGGAUGGAAUUCCGCGUGUAGCAGUGAAAUGCGUAGAUAUGCGGAGGAACACCGAUGGCGAAGGCAAUCCCCUGGGCCUGCACUGACGCUCAUGCACGAAAGCGUGGGGAGCAAACAGGAUUAGAUACCCUGGUAGUCCACGCCCUAAACGAUGUCAACUGGUUGUUGGGUCUUAACUGACUCAGUAACGAAGCUAACGCGUGAAGUUGACCGCCUGGGGAGUACGGCCGCAAGGUUGA